rnacentral:rRNA from 1 species
UACGUAGGGUGCGAGCGUUGUCCGGAAUUAUUGGGCGUAAAGAGCUCGUAGGCGGUUUGUUGCGUCGGCUGUGAAAACCUGCGGCUUAACUGUGGGCUUGCAGUCGAUACGGGCAGACUUGAGUUCGGCAGGGGAGACUGGAAUUCCUGGUGUAGCGGUGAAAUGCGCAGAUAUCAGGAGGAACACCGGUGGCGAAGGCGGGUCUCUGGGCCGAUACUGACGCUGAGGAGCGAAAGCGUGGGGAGCGAACAGG